rnacentral:rRNA from 1 species
GACGAACGCUGGCGGCGUGCCUAAUACAUGCAAGUCGAGCGGACAGAAGGGAGCUUGCUCCCGGAUGUUAGCGGCGGACGGGUGAGUAACACGUGGGUAACCUGCCUGUAAGACUGGGAUAACUCCGGGAAACCGGAGCUAAUACCGGAUAGUUCCUUGAACCGCAUGGUUCAAGGAUGAAAGACGGUUUCGGCUGUCACUUACAGAUGGACCCGCGGCGCAUUAGCUAGUUGGUGGGGUAAUGGCUCACCAAGGCGACGAUGCGUAGCCGACCUGAGAGGGUGAUCGGCCACACUGGGACUGAGACACGGCCCAGACUCCUACGGGAGGCAGCA